GUGGGGAAUAUUGGACAAUGGGGGGAACCCUGAUCCAGCCAUGUCGCGUGUGUGAAGAAGGCCUUUUGGUUGUAAAGCACUUUAAGCGAGGAGGAGGCUACCGAGAUUAAUACUCUUGGAUAGUGGACGUUACUCGCAGAAUAAGCACCGGCUAACUCUGUGCCAGCAGCCGCGGUAAUACAGAGGGUGCAAGCGUUAAUCGGAUUUACUGGGCGUAAAGCGCGCGUAGGUGGCCAAUUAAGUCAAAUGUGAAAUCCCCGAGCUUAACUUGGGAAUUGCAUUCGAUACUGGUUGGCUAGAGUAUGGGAGAGGAUGGUAGAAUUCCAGGUGUAGCGGUGAAAUGCGUAGAGAUCUGGAGGAAUACCGAUGGCGAAGGCAGCCAUCUGGCCUAAUACUGACACUGAGGUGCGAAAGCAUGGGGAGCAAACAGGAUUAGAUACCCGAGUAGUCC
rnacentral:rRNA from 1 species